AUGGUUGCCCAGUUCUCUGACCAACUUGUUGUUGGAAAUGUGUAUUUCAUAUCUGGAGGAUUGUUGAAACCAGCACAGAAGUUGUUUAACCAUUUAAACAAUGCGUAUGAACUGAUUUUGGAUAGUUCAACAUCUGUAGAAAUCUGUUCCAGUGACGACAGCGGCAUCCCUUGGCAGCAAUACAAUUUCCAGCAGAUCAGUGAAAUAGUAAAUAUGGACAGUGGAGUUAUGGUUGAUUUGCUUGGGGUUGUUACAUCAGUUAGCCCUUCUGUUAUAAUAAUGCGGAAGGAUGGCGCAGAAACCCAGAAAAGAACCCUUCAACUGAAGGACAUGUCUGGUUGCAGUGUGGAAAUAACAUUAUGGGGAAAUGUCUGUAAUGCUGAAGGUCAGCAGCUGCACUUGAUGUGCAUUUCUGGCUCUAACCCUAUACUUGCCUUGAAAGGUGGCCGCAUCUGCGAAUUCAACGGCAAAACUGUGGGAACAGUCAGCUCAAGCUUGUUAAAAAUAAAUCCAGACUUGCCUGAUGCAGAAAAGCUGAUGCAGUGGUACAUAACUGAAGGGAAAUUAGCGGUUUGCACUUCUUUAUCUAAGGACAUCUCAAGUGUGGGCAAGAUGUAUAUGCGAAAAACAGUUGCGCAGAUCAAGGACGAGAACUUGGGGCGAUCAGAUCAGCCAGAUUGGGUCACUGUUGAAGCUACAAUUUCACACAUCGACACCGAGAAAUUUUCUUAUCCAGCUUGCACAAGGGAGGUUAAUGGUAAGCGCUGCAACAGAAAGGUAACAAAUAAUGGUGAUGGGAUGUGGCAUUGCCCCAAAUGCCAGCAGAGCUCUCAAAAUUGUGAGUAUCGAUACUUGUUUCAGUGUAAGAUCCAGGACCACACUGGGACUACAAGAAGCUGGCCAGGAAAUAAUUGGCCUCUCAGCGGAAGAGCUUUUCAUGAUUAA
rnacentral:rRNA from 1 species